GCAUCACCAUGAGGGCACCAUAUAAUGAACACUACAAAUGAAUAACCCGGUUCCUCCAGGAUACAUGGGCUGCUACUCUGAGUCUGUGGCGGGCCCAGGGCUUCUCCGUUCCUGGGAUGGAUCAGCUGCACACAGCGUCGUGGUUCUCCGGAGCAAGAUGACACCCCCAAAGUCACCAUUGUACUGCCCUAUUUGCGAGAACCGCUACAUGUAUUUGGGGAAGCACUUGUUGAACCAGCAUCGGAUGCGGAAUGUGGAUGAGCGCAAG